rnacentral:sRNA from 1 species
UACUGCUGGGUGUUGUUAUUAAUUACCGAGUGCUCUGAUUUUUACCAAGCCUCGCUUAUUUCGUUUUUGAGAAACGAUCAGUUGGCUGUUAUAUCGUAUUCACCUGGUUUUUUAUAUAUAUAUAUAUAAAUGUUUUUAUCAUCCUCCGAUGCCCAUGGCCAGAUGAAGAGGUAAUAUGGCUGGCUAUGUUAUAGAUAAUUUUUUUUCUUCGGAUAUUCGCAGAACCAUGUAAUUAUGUAUAUUCAGAUAUCCUUCGAGCGGUGGAUAAGAAUUGUAUGAGCCGUUACUGACUGUCCUUACCAACCCAUCCCUGUUCCUUUUUGGAAAAAGAAAAAAGAAAAAA